UCCAUUCACUUGUAUAGGAAGAAAGGUGAGGGAGAGACAUUCCUGGUUCUCAAAUUUUUCAGACCAGAGUGGCAUUCCCUGCUACAGUGGAGUCAUAUGGUCCCAAAUAACUGCACAGGAGGUACUAUAUUUUUAUCACCCUCAAUAACUUGCAUUUGCUGGGUGCAGCAGAGCAUGCCUAUAAUCCCAGCAGCUUGGGAGGCUGAGGCAGGAGGAUCGAAAGUUCAAAGCCAGCCUCAGCAAUUUAGUAAGGGCCUAAGAACUUAGUGAAACCCUGUCUCAAAAGAAGGACUGGGAAAUGUGGCUCAGUGGUUAAGUGCCCCUAGGUUUAAUGCUUGGUCACAAAACAAACCAAAAUAAUUUGCAUGUUAGAAUCAUUUUAUAUGUAAUGUGUACUUUCUAAAAAAGGUCUCAACCUCAAAUACAUAGUUGCUCUGUGGUGACUUGCUAGAUUUGGGGAGUUGUAUGAAGCAGAAGCCUAAAGAGCUUAACUGAAAAUUUCUAAUCUACAGAAUCCCUGGAGUUAUUAUUAUUAUUACUAGCUUCAUUACCACCACCAUCAUCAUCAUCAUUAUCAUGUAGUAACUGUACAUACUGAUAGGUGCAGGGUGAUAUUUCAACACAUAUAUACAGGAUUUAUUGAUUAAAUCAUUUCCCUCCUUGAUUUUCAUGUUUGGAGCCUUGGAGCUCCUCUUACAGAUCUUCAAAAAGUGGAUACUAGGGUACUGUGAUACUAGGUACUAGGAUACUAGGUACUGGUCACUCUUAUGCUGCAGAACAUCGAACUUAACUCCUCCCUGCUAACUCUGUUUUGGGACCUAUUUUUCAUCUUGCUCGUGUGCUUCCUCCACUCUACUCUUCCUAGCCGCUAGUAAUUACCAUUCUAGCUUUCACAUAGGAGAGAGAACAUGCAGUAUUUGUCUUUCUGUGUCUGGCUUAUUUCACUUAACCUAAUGUCCUCCAUCAAGACAGUAACAGAUCCCUUGCCCCAUGCUCUGGAUGAAAACCCAUGUGGGAGGGGGCAUACCUAAGCAGAAGAGCAAAGGAAAACUGAGAUGAAGCUUCAUUCCAUCUCCACACCAUGUCCUCUAUCUAAGGAAAGAACACCGAAGUCAAUUUGUU
rnacentral:lncRNA from 1 species